rnacentral:rRNA from 1 species
GACGAACGCUGGCGGCGUGCUUAACACAUGCAAGUCGAGCGGUAAGGCCCUUCGGGGUACACGAGUGGCGAACGGGUGAGUAACACGUGGGUGAUCUGCCCUGCACUUCGGGAUAAGCCUGGGAAACUGGGUCUAAUACCGGAUAGGACUCCUGGCUUCAUGGUUGGGGGUGGAAAGCUUUUGCGGUGUGGGAUGGGCCCGCGGCCUAUCAGCUUGUUGGUGGGGUAAUGGCCUACCAAGGACGACGGGUAGCCGGCCUGAGAGGGUGACCGGUCACACUGGGACUGAGAUACUGCCCAGACUCCUACGGGAGGCAGCAGUGGGGAAUAUUGCACAAUGGGCGCAAGCCUGAUGCAGCGACGCCGCGUGAGGGAUGACGGCCUUCGGGUUGUAAACCUCUUUCAGCUAUGACGAAGCGCAAGUGACGGUAGUAGCAGAAGAAGGACCGGCCAACUACGUGCCAGCCGCCGCAGUAA